UUAUGAUCUCACUUCCUGGUCCCUGGCUUUGCCUUUUCCGCUGAGCUGAUGCUUGGAAUGUACCCGGUGCCUGCAAUGUGACUCUUUUUCUUUUUCCCAAGACAGAGUUUCUCUGUCCUGGAGCCCUCUCUGGAGACCAGGCUGGCCUCCAACUCAGAGAUCCUCCUGCCUCUGCCUCUCGAGUUCUGGGACCGCCAUCUGACUGUGACUCUCUCUGUUCUUGGCAGUCAGAAAGUACUUCAGCGUUGCAGCUCACAGAGGAAAUGAGCUAUGCAGAGGGAACUGGGAAGACCAUCGGGAGGAGACCACUGAAGGGGACCCUAGCCUGACAUUUCAGAAAGUAGAUAUCUGUCCCUCCUGACUGGAAUGCCCUCUCAUGCCAUGGAGCACUCUCUUCAGGGAAUCUUGGGUUCUUUCUCCAUGUCACUUCAUUCACACGUCCAGUCCUUGCCCAGGAAGGCUGCUGCGGCUCAAGCCAUCACAUCCACACCCCAGCUGCAGAAGGAGUUAGAGAAGCUGCUCCUGAGGGGCAUGCCUGUGAGACUGUACACACCGCAUCCUCCCACUUACACUUCUUUGGCCAGAAGACAGCUGGACUUUGCGAGGAAGACUAGUCUUUAUUUUGGGAGUCCACAUGUUUGGUUCACAGGACAUAACAUGGUAUUGGAGUCACCACGGAAACCAAGGGUCAUCACUCUGUUCUCAGCUCACAAGGCUUCUUCUUUUUCUGUCUCUCCAUACUAGUUUUUAAACCAAGCGGUCACAAAGGUAACUGGAACACUUCCAUCUCGAGGAAUUCUUACAGGCUCCAUGAUGGUAAAAUCUCCAGGUGAAAGCUCCCACCCAUUUUGUCAUUCAUGGGUCCCUG
rnacentral:lncRNA from 1 species